AACGAACGCUGGCGGCAUGCCUAACACAUGCAAGUCGAACGAGACCUGCGGGUUUGGUGGCGCACGGGUCCGUAACGGGGGGGAACCUGCCUAUAGGUCCGGAAUAAAUCCCGGAAAGGGGUGCUAAUACCGGCGAAUGUCUUCGGACCAAAGUUUUAUCGCCUUUGGAUGGGCCGGGGUUGGCUUGGUUAGUUGGUAGGGUAAAAGCCUCUCAAGGCUACGACACUUAGCUGGUAUGAGAGGAUGAGCAGCCACACUGGUACUGAGAAACGGCCCAGAAUACUACGGGAGGGAGCAGUGGGGAAUAUUGGAAAGUGGGGGAAAGGCUGAUCCAGCAAUGACGGGUGAGUGAUGAAGGCCUUAGGGUUGUAAAGCUCUUUUACCCGGGAUGAUAAUGACAGUACCGGGAGAAUAAGCUCCGGCUAACUCCGUG
rnacentral:rRNA from 1 species